ACUUCUUUGCUGUUUCACAUAUAAUAUUUUCGGGUUUAUCUGGAGGGACUUUCAAAGGCAGUGUGUGGGGGAAAAAAUAGAAAAAUAAUCAAAAGAAAUUUGUCAUGGCUAUUUUCAUGUGACUGCUGAGAAAUGCAAAGUAAUACUAUCUUUCACCUGUGGUUUUUUUACACACUACUGUUCCCACAUACACACACAGUAGCCUAUAAAUGGAAACAUGUGGCUCAUUGACAAAUAGUGCGCUAUGACUUUCUCCUAGUGAGAAUAAUAUGAGCUAAUUGGGAAACAUGUAAAUCCUUUAAGGGUUCUAUAGCGUCUUCAAAAUCUAAGAUGUAAAUGUCAUUCAAACUUUAAAUUUACCACCAAACUUUUGAGAAAUCAAGUUUUAUGCUUUUUCUGGCUUUUUGAUACUUUUGAACACAUAUUAAUGUUAUCGCUGUGCUAUGUCAGGUGUCCAUCCAUAUAUAGGCGGUACCAGUACGAGUUUGAACUUGAAUUGUUUGAACAUUACUGCUUCUGUUCUCUCUUUCAGAACAAACGGGUUUGAACAGCUGUGACUGGUGUUGGCCAGGUGUGAGUCACCAGUUAGUCUCAUACACAGGCGUGGAUCUCCUCAGACUGAUGUGUGACUACAGAAAACUAGCAGAAAUGAAGUACACCCUGAUCACCAAGCAGAAUCACCGUAGCAACCACCCCAAAUGCCCUGACAACCACCUAAACACAACCUAAAAAAACAGAUUAGCAACCACCCAGAACACCCUAGCAACAUUUAAAUCACCAUGAUGACUAUUAAGUACUUUACAAAGACUAAUUAUGUGUAAAUUUGUAUUGUCUGAUUGUAUGUAAUUUUGUAUUUGCAUGUAAACUCUCCUCAAAUAUUCUCUUUUCUUUUUAAAUAGAGAGAACCAACUCUACAUACGCCCACUACGUAGGUCCAGUCCAUUGACGAUCUGAUGAUUCUGCUUGCACAGCACAGCAGAUAGCGGCAUCUUGACACUGGACAGUACACUGUCAGGUUUGAACCCAUGAGGAUGGGUGGGGCUGGCUUGACUGUCAGGUAGCCAUGGGCGAUGAAGUGAUGGCAGCCAGCCAGGAGCAGAGGGCACCCUGUCCAGAAAAAAUUACUUAAUGGGAAUUUCCUAACUCGGAACUCACCUCAGCCAUCGGUGUACAGGAGAUGUUCUGGCUAACACGAGGAGGAG